GACGAACGCCGGCGGCGUGCUUAACACAUGCAAGUCGAACGGAAAGGCCCUGCUUUUGUGGGGUGCUCGAGUGGUGAACGGGUGAGUCACACGCGAGUAACCUGCCCUUGACUUUGGCAUAACUUCAGGAAACUGGGGCUAAUACCGGAUAGGAGCCCCUGCUGCAUGUUGGGGGUUGGAUCGUUUCGGCGGCUGGGGAUGGACUCGCGGAUUACUAGCUUGUUGGUGGGGUAGUGGCUUACCAAGGCCUUGACGGGUGGCCGGCCUGAGGGGGUGACCGGCCACAUUGGGAAUAGGAUACGGCCCAGACGCCUACGGGAGGGAGCAGUGAGGAGUAUUGCACAAUGGGCGGAAGCCUGAUGCAGCAACGCCGCGUGCGGGAUGACGGCCUUCGGGUUGUAACCCGCUUUCGCCUGUGACGAAGCGUGAGUGACGGUAAUGGGUAAAGAGGCACCGGCUAGCUACGUG
rnacentral:rRNA from 1 species